UACAGAGGGGGCUAGCGUUGUUCGGAAUUACUGGGCGUAAAGGGCGCGUAGGUGGCCUGUUAAGUCGAACGUGAAAUCCCCGGGCUCAACCCGGGAACUGCGUCCGAGACUGGCAGGCUCGAAUCCGGGAGGAGGGAUGUGGAAUUCCAGGUGUAGCGGUGAAAUGCGUAGAUAUCUGGAGGAACACCGGUGGCGAAGGCGGCAUCCUGGACCGGUAUUGACGCUGAGGCGCGAAAGCCAGGGGAGCAAAGCGGG
rnacentral:rRNA from 1 species